UUUCAGUGAUGAAAGUGUGAGAUUUAAAGCUGAUUGGUGGAGUGUUCCCUUAGGAAUAAAAGGUAUGAAAGUGACAUUAUACCUUACAACAUAUAUUAAUGUCAUCAUUGGCCUACGAUGGAAUGUGAAAAUGUCCUCAAACAUGAAUAUUUUUAUCCUUGUCUAAGCAAAGGCUAUAUAUACAAGAGUUUUUUUCUCUGUUUCUCUCUUAAACUCUUCUUAGAAUAACUUCCUUCUUCUUCUUCACUACAUUACAUGAGCCACACUUUCAUCAAAUGGGGUGGCUUCAAUCCCUCAUCUCUCCAUUGAAGAAGGUUUGGUUCAAGUUACAUUCAACUCAAAAGAAGAGAAGAGGGAUAUACAUUCUAUAUGAAGAUGUGAAAUCUUGUCCCUAUGAAGAUGUUCAAAUCCUCUGGUCAAUAUUAGUGGAAUCACAUCCAGCUUCUAUAGCGUCGCGAAAAUGAAGAAGACAACAUAAAUGAGAAGAGACUUGAUGUAAUAAUGUAUAUAAAAUAUUUAGAAAUCAUCACAGAUUAUCCAUUGCUUUUUUACAA